GACGAACGCUGGCGGCGUGCCUAAUACAUGCAAGUCGAGCGAAUGGAUUAAGAGCUUGCUCUUAUGAAGUUAGCGGCGGACGGGUGAGUAACACGUGGGUAACCUGCCCAUAAGACUGGGAUAACUCCGGGAAACCGGGGCUAAUACCGGAUAACAUUUUGAACCGCAUGGGUCGAAAUUGAAAGGCGGCUUCGGCUGUCACUUAUGGAUGGACCCGCGUCGCAUUAGCUAGUUGGUGAGGUAACGGCUCACCAAGGCAACGAUGCGUAGCCGACCUGAGAGGGUGAUCGGCCACACUGGGACUGAGACACGGCCCAGACUCCUACGGGAGGCAGCAGUAGGGAAUCUUCCGAAAUGGACGAAAGUCUGACGGAGCAACGCCGCGUGAGUGAUGAAGGCUUUCGGGUCGUAAAACUCUGUUGUUAGGGAAGAACAAGUGCUAGUUGAAUAAGCUGGCACCUUGACGGUACCUAACCAGAAAGCCACGGCUAACUACGUGCCAGCAGCCGCCGUAA
rnacentral:rRNA from 1 species